rnacentral:lncRNA from 1 species
ACAGUUUAGCCUUGCAACUUGCCACAUACGGAUUUCACAAAGAGUUGUUGCAAGGAUUAUUAAUGUUCAGAGAUAUCUGCAUCGGUUUGGACCUUCCUUUUUAUUUAAACAUCCAGCACAGCAAAACGGACACCACACUAGGAUGAACGGAUGACAAUAUUUCUGUAACCCAAACAACACUUGAGGUGGCGAUUAAAUUAGGACCCACUUAUUUCUCCAUUAGUUGAAUGAAAUUUUAUCACCCAUUAAAGACAGAUUUUUAAUUCAUCAUAUUUUGACUGCAAAAUUCAAUUUCUUACUCAGAAUUGGACCGUUUACCAAGAAAAUCAUUCAGCAUAUACAUCA